rnacentral:rRNA from 1 species
CGUAAAGCGCACGUAGGCAGAUCGGAAAGUUGGGGGUGAAAGCCCGGGGCUCAACCCCGGAACUGCCUUCAAAACUAUCGGUCUGGAGUUCGAGAGAGGUGAGUGGAAUUCCGAGUGUAGAGGUGAAAUUCGUAGAUAUUCGGAGGAACACCAGUGGCGAAGGCGGCUCACUGGCUCGAUACUGACGAUGAGGUGCGAAAGCGUGGGGAGCAAACAGG